AAACUUUUAAUUUUAUUAAAACUUUCAACAACGGAUCUCUUGGUUCUGGCAUCGAUGAAGAACGCAGCGAAAUGCGAUAAGUAAUGUGAAUUGCAGAAUUCAGUGAAUCAUCGAAUCUUUGAACGCACAUUGCGCCCUCUGGUAUUCCGGGGGGCAUGCCUGUUCGAGCGUCAUU
rnacentral:rRNA from 1 species